rnacentral:rRNA from 1 species
CAGUAGCCACGGGAAUACGGAGGGUGCAAGCGUUAAUCGGAAUUACUGGGCGUAAAGCGCACGCAGGCGGUCUGACAAGUCAGAUGUGAAAUCCCCGGGCUUAACCUGGGAACUGCAUUUGAAACUGUCAGGCUGGAGUCUUGUAGAGGGGGGUGGAAUUCCAGGUGUAGCGGUGAAAUGCGUAGAGAUCUGGAGGAAUUCCGGUGGCGAAGGCGGCCCCCUGGACAAAGACUGACGCUCAGGUGCGAAAGCGUGGGGAGCAAACAGGAUUAGAUACCCCGGUAGUCCCUGUCUCUUAUAC